AUUGAACGCUGGCGGCAGGCCUAACACAUGCAAGUCGAGCGGAGCUGCGAACGGGUGAGUAAUGCCUAGGAAUCUGCCUGUUAGUGGGGUAUAACGUCCGGAAACGUGCGCUAAUACCGCAUACUAUCAGAUGAGCCUAGGUCGUAUUAGCUAGUUGGUGGGGUAAAGGCCUACCAAGGCGACGAUCCGUAACUGGUCUGAGAGGAUGAUCAGUCAUACUGGAACUGAGACACGGUCCAGACUCCUACGGGAGGCAGCAGUGGGGAAUAUUGGACAAUGGGCGAAAGCCUGAUCCAGCAAUGCCGCGUGUGUGAAGAAGGUCUUCGGAUUGUAAAGCACUUUAAGUUGGGAGGCGUUACCAACAGAAUAAGCACCGGCUAACUACGUGCCAGCAGCCGCGGUAAUAC
rnacentral:rRNA from 1 species